rnacentral:tRNA from 3 species
GCUGGCAUAGCUCAGCUGGUAGAGCAGCUGAUUUGUAAUCAGCAGGUCGGGGGUUCAAGUCCCUCUGCCAGCU